rnacentral:piRNA from 1 species
UAAAUUUUACUUUUAUGUUAUAUGCAUUGG